GUGCUCGCUUUGGCAGCACAUAUACUAAAAUUGGAAUGAUACAGAGAAGAUUAGCAUGGCCCCUGUGCAAGGAUGACAUGCAAAGGAUGACACGCAAAUUAUU